rnacentral:rRNA from 1 species
GACGAACGCUGGCGGCGUGCUUAACACAUGCAAGUCGAACGGAAAGGCCCUGCUCUUGUGGGGUGCUCGAGUGGCGAACGGGUGAGUAACACGUGAGUAACCUGCCCCUGUCUUUGGGAUAACUUCAGGAAACUGGGGCUAAUACCGGAUAGGAGCUCUUGCUGCAUGGUGGGGGUUGGAAAGUUUCGGCGGUUGGGGAUGGACUCGCGGCUUACCAGCUUGUUGGUGGGGUAGUGGCUUACCAAGGCUUCGACGGAUAGCCGGCCUGAGAGGGUGACCGGGCACAAUGGGCCUGAGAUACGGCCCAGACGCCAACGGGAGGCAGCAGGGGGGAGUAUUACACAAUGGGCGGAAGCCUGAGGCAGCGGCGCCGCGUGCGGGAUGACGGCCUUCGGGUUGUAAACCGAUUUCGCCUGUGACGAAGCGUGAGUGACGGUAAUGGGUAAAGAAGCACCGGCUAACUACGUG